AAUAUGGCUGUCUAUGAACCAGGAGGCAGGCCCUCCCAGAAUAAAAUCUGCAGGUACCUAGUCUUGGAUUUCUCAGCCUCCAGAACGUGGGAGAAGAGUUUAACAGAAGUGCUGGGUGGACCCCGGGGCUGGGAGAGCUGUUUGAUAUGCCCGGAUCCCUGCCACCAUCCUCGCCCUGGCAUGCUGUCUGCAAACUCGGUGAAGAUCAGCUCUGUAUAGGCCUGGAGGUCACGGAGAAGAGUAACGUACUGCCCUAGUGACUCAGGUAAGCCUGUGACGCAGGAGCAGGGCUCUGUCCCCUGCCACCAGGGAGCAUCUCCUGUAUUCACCACUCGUUUUUCGGCUACAGGUGGCGUCACCAUGCAAAGCAGGAACGAAUGGCAGAACAGCAGUGACUCAGAGGACCCCACCCCCUUGCAGGCGCUAUCAACCCAAAACACCGAGCACUCAAACCACCCCGUCCUGAGUCCCAGCCCCUUCCAGCCUUCCCUGGCCUCCUGUCCACUGUCAACACACAAGUCCUAAGGCUGACUUCAAAACCGUUCCACAUCUGCUCCCCAAGCAGAUCGCUGCAGUGAGGGAAACACACAAAGUUCAUGAAUGAAGGGUGAGAAUACAAUAAAAAUUUCCAGCAA